UUUUUUUUCUCUCAGCCGUUCCAUCUUCCUAAACAUCUUUAGGGUUUUUUACAUUGCAGCCGCCUGUUCUUCUCCGUGUUCAAUCUUCGAUCAUCAUCUCAAUUGUACACUCGAAACCCUAGCGCCUCCCUCACAUUUUCUGCAGAUCCAUAUGUUUGAAUGGAAGAGUUUCACAAUCACGAAACCCUAGCCCUCAUCAUCUUCCCUGUUUUGAUUCAAGAAGCAAAUUGGCGACAGUUCGGGGACUUCUCUGUCGGAGAUGACGUUUACAGAAAGAAGCAAGUCCACAACUUCUUUGUUGGAGACAACGUAUACAGAGAGCAGCAAAUCGGCGGCAAGUUGAAGUUUGGUUCCAAAACAGAAGAGCCUCCAUGAGUUUUGUAAACCUCCAAUUUAUCAUAUUUCAUGUUUUAGUUGUUGUUGUUAUUAUACAUACUGUCAAUUAGUUUUUACUGUUCUCCUGUUCGUCCAGAAACCCUAACGAAACUGUUGAUAUUGGAGAUCCAUAAGGCUGUGAACAGGUAAGGCAUCACCAGAAAGCUUUACAAGCGGUGAUUUUUACGGUUUUUGGAGUAUUUGGAGAACCAGAAAUGAGGCCAUAUUCGUAUCUAAAACCCUUUUGGUUUCAAAGGUUUUGGAGGAAACGAAUGCAAUGUCUUUCCUUUGGGUUACAAGUCGGGCAAAAAGGAUAAAUCGUCUGUUAAAGACCCUGGCAUACGUGGCAUAUUGAAAAUGACGAGAGAGGUUUGUUUUUCAGCCUAAUGAUCCAUCAUUGUCUGUUAAGCUUAAUGUGGAGUUUAGAUUAAUAAAAUGACAUAAAUCGAGUAAGGAGGGUGCGAACAGACUUGCUUUACUUAAUCUUACUCAAGAUCAGGGUAAUAAUAUAUUCGAGUUCAAGAAUUUCUCAGAUAGGGAGAUUUGCAGGGACUUUGUAGGUGAGGUGUUUUGGACUUUUGGUGUUGUUUUCAUCUGAAUCUUUUUUUUUAUCUUGAUUUUGUUUUUGUUUUGGUUUAUGAUGUACAUGUUUGUCGAUGUGUUUAGAUAUCAUUGUUUUUUUCUUGAGCCCUAAUCAUAUUAUGGAUUUUGGUUUGGCCUUUCAAUGAUAUGGAUUUUGGUUUGGCCUUCUUUCUUCAAUCCUCUGCUCCAUUCAACCUUCAAUGAUAUGGAUUUUGAGAAUGAGAGCCAGGGAGAGAAAGAGAGGAUUUGGGAGAAACAGACCGCUAAUUUCCAUUUUGGUUUCUAGAAUUGGUGAAUCGGGAGAUGCUGAUGAUUUUCAACUCGUGGUGGUGUUGUCAUACAAGUUUGUUGGUCUGGAGUGGAAUAGCGGGUUCCUUCAACAUUCGGCACCACCAAAGCUGUCAAGGUAAAGACCCAGAUUACAUAUAAUAUUGGACUUAAAUGUGUGUGUGUGCGCGCGCGCGCGUGUUUUAGGUGGCACGCGGUCCAUUUGUGUGUUUGCUGAUGAGAUGGGAAGCAGUUCGGUUUCUCCGCUAAUCGUGACAGGUGGAAAAGGCGGAGAUGUCGGAGUUCAUGAUUUCCGUUACAUAGCCACACGAAUACCAAAAAAACACAAGAAUUCUGAUAACGAUGAACAAAAGUUCAGUGCAUCUUCAACCGCAGGUUUGCAUAAUAAACACAGGGACCAAAAUGGAAAUGGAAUGUUGUGGUACAUACCAAAAGCUCACUCUGGUUUUUUCUUAACUGGAAGUAAAGAUAGAGAUGUAAAGCUAUGGGAUGCUAAGAGGGCAAAAUUGGUAUAUCACUGGCAAAAACAUGCACGAUAGACACACCUUUAUUCAACCUAGCUCUAGAGCAUUUGGAGGAGUUGUUAGGUUAAGCUGGUUUAACUUAGAGAUUUACUAUAAUCCACUUGGCCCAUGUCUGCCGGCCCAUCGUCGGCGUCCUGUUUUUGGUGCUGUUCCAGUUAAGCUGUUUUUUUUUCUUCCUUUCCGACUGGUCCGUGGCCUGUUUUUGGUGUCCUUCCAGUUUAAGGCAAUUUUUAGUUCCUUUUCGACUAUACCUACGAGUUACGAGUGGCAUGUGUGUGUAUAUAUGCAUAGAGUACAUCAUGAAACCAAUUACUUAAAAAUAGUCUUAUAUGUUUAUUUUAAUAUUAAAACUAAAUAUCAUGUGGAGAUCAAGAAAGUUGCGUUAAGCAUUCAGGAAAUUGCAGGAAAUUGCUGUGUACAUAUACAGACGAUACGAGUAUGUUCUAUGGAAUGAAGUUCUUCAAUGACUUACUAAUGGAAGCUGGCCCGAUCGUAAAUAUACAGUCGGGAGUACUACUACAAAAAGAUUAGAACACAUUCACUUUCAUGCAAGGAUUGACUGAGUUGCCUUAACACUCGUCAUAACGCUAAAUCUAUAAGUUAUUUAUAAGAUAUGUGUACUCGAUUUGUGUUAAGUUUUGAAUUUGUAUCGUGAUUUGUUAAAUUUGAUAAACAAAAUUUAAGAUAUUGGUAUUUGGUUAUGGUCAAGAUCUA